UCUGGGCAUGGUGGCGCAUGCCUAUAAUCCUAGCUAGUUGGGAGGCUGAAGCAGGAGGACCUUCAGUCUAAGGUUGACCUUGGCAAUGUAAGGAGACCCUGUCUCAA
rnacentral:sRNA from 1 species